GAAACGGAGGUGAGGUUGAGUCAUUUUAAUUCCUUUUUUAUAGGGUGCAAAACAUGCCCAUCGUGGCACUGACUUUCUCCCUCUCGUUUUUUCUUUAUUCCUUUUCUGUGUCAAUGAUUUCCAUGAAAAAUCCUUGAAUAACAUUUCCGACUUGAGAAACGCAUCUGUCAGGUGAUGUCAACGCCUGGCUUACUCCUCUUCCUGUUGGGUUGCAAACACGGCCUUCUCUCACGGUCCUGGAAUGCUGACACGGUCGGGCAGCCAGAGCCUAACACAGUCUAAGACAGAAGAAAACUGCAGAAGAUUGCUACCCAUUCAAGUAGAAAAACUCAAGCUGGAAAAUUAACAGCACAGCUGGAAAGGCUAAUGAACUUAGCAUUUAAAAAUGCUUGUAGAGCUGCCAGAUCUACCCCUUGAUCCCAGAGGAGGAACUUCCGUGGUCAUCCCAGUCAUGUGAUGUAAGGGCAAUGACAGCAAUGGUAUAAGGAAGAGUCCGGAAGCCACCAUGCCCAGAACCAUCAGCCUCAAGCAAAUCAUCUUCCCUUGUCCUCUUGCUCUCAUCUUACCCUUCAGACAAAAUCCAUGAAUUAUUGAUCAAAUUUGGAUCUCUGUGUGCUGUCCUCCAAUUUAAUACCUUCUCUGUUGCUGUUUUGUUUUCUUUCUUCUGGAACGUGGCAGAGUGCUUCAAGGUGGGUGGCAGAUGUCUGACUCAAUCUUCUACAUUAAUAGGUUUUCUCUGUAUUGUUAUAAUUAAUUUUAAAUUGAUUUUAUAAAAUUUAUAAUUAUAGGAUUUUUUUUCAUGUUCAAUUCCAUUUAAAUUUUUUCCUAUUUGCCCAUUCUUCUUUUUUCUUAUCACUUUGAAUAUACUGGUCUCAC
rnacentral:lncRNA from 1 species